rnacentral:rRNA from 1 species
AGGACGAACGCUGGCGGCGUGCUUAACACAUGCAAGUCGAACGGAAAGGCCCGCUUGCGGGUACUCGAGUGGCGAACGGGUGAGUAACACGUGGGCAACCUGCCCUCAGCUCUGGGAUAACUCCGGGAAACCGGUGCUAAUACUGGAUAUCGACUUCUGCCUCGCAUGGGGUGUUGUUGAAAGUUUUUCGGCUGGGGAUGGGCCCGCGGCCUAUCAGCUUGUUGGUGGGGUGAUGGCCUACCAAGGCGACGACGGGUAGCCGGCCUGAGAGGGCGACCGGCCACACUGGGACUGAGACACGGCCCAGACUCCUACGGGAGGCAGCAGUGGGGAAUAUUGCGCAAUGGGCGGAAGCCUGACGCAGCGACGCCGCGUGAGGGAUGGACGGCCUUCGGGUUGUAAACUCCUUUUAUCGGGGAAGAAACAAAUGACGGUACCCGAUGAAUAAGCCCCGGCUAACUCCGCGCCAGCAGCCGC